AUGCCUACGGGGGGCAGCAGUAGGGAAUCUUCGGCAAUGGGGGCAACCCUGACCGAGCAACGCCGCGUGAGUGGAGAAGGUUUUCGGAUCGUAAAGCUCUGUUGUAAGAGAAGAACGUGUGUGAGAGUGGAAAGUUCACACAGUGACGGUAACUUACCAGAAAGGGACGGCUAACUACGUGCCAGCAGCCGCGGUAAUACGUAGGUCCCGAGCGUUAUCCGGAUUUAUUGGGCGUAAAGCGAGCGCAGGCGGUUGGGUAAGUCUGAAGUUUAAGGCUGUGGGUUUACCAUUGUAUGCUUUUGAAA
rnacentral:rRNA from 1 species